GACAAUACAUUUUCAAGGUUUCAAUGCUGAUGAGUAAUUCUAAGAAAAACAAAAAACUGUUUUGCAAGGUUUAUUUGACUUAAUCAGACACAUUAAUUUUAACCCAGGAAUAAAAACCUGCUCUCCCAAGUACAAAUGUGCUGGGGGGAAAAACACAUGGCCAGUGAUAUAUAAUAGAGGCCAGGAGAGACCACUAGGACAUAUUUCUCACUUGCACUGUGAUUAUUAAAAUACAGCAGCAACAAUAAAAAAAGAAGAGUUUGACUAAUUCAUGUAAAUUAAUUCCAGAACAAGAGGACACCGCCUGUGGCCAGACUCUCACCAAACAUGUAGCCUCACAUACAGUCAUACAUAUACAGUAACAUUAAAAAAAAAAACAGUUCAUCGCCCGGUAUAAAAAUAAUACAAUCUGAAUAGUCUUUCAAAUUAUGAUUGAGAAAAUUGGAACAAUCUUGGUUAAUAUAGCCUGCAUAUUUCCCUUUAAUUUCAUGAAGAGAAUGAACAU